rnacentral:tRNA from 2 species
GGUCGAUUAGCUCAGUGGUAGAGCGCUUGCUUCACACGCAAGAUGUCACCGGUUCAAAUCCAGUAUCGACCACCA